AGUGAACGCUGGCGGCGUGCCUAACACAUGCAAGUCGAACGGGCUAGUGCUUCGCACUAGUCUCUUUCUGGGGUUGCUACUCUAAGGCUACCUGCUAAAGUUAUUGCUUUAAAGCAGGGGUUUUAGGGGACCUUCCCCAAAAGGGGCCAGUGCGGAGCACUGGCCAGUGGCGAACGGGUGAGUAACACGUGGGUAAUCUGCCCUCGAGUGGGGAAUAAGCUCCCGAAAGGGGGUCUAAUACCGCAUGACGUUUCAUAACGAUGGUUAUGAAACCAAAGCCCAAAAGGCGCUUGAGGAGGAGCCUGCGUCCUAUCAGCUUGUUGGCAGGGUAAUGGCCUACCAAGGCUAUGACGGGUAGCCGGCCUGAGAGGGUGUCCGGCCACACUGGAACUGAGACACGGUCCAGACUCCUACGGGAGGCAGGCAGUGGGGAAUUUUGCGCAAUGGGGGAAACCCUGACGCAGCGACGCCGCGUGGAGGAUGACGGCCUCGGGUUGUAACGUACCGUGUCGUAGAAGGACGAAAGUACCGACG
rnacentral:rRNA from 1 species